rnacentral:rRNA from 1 species
ACAGCUCAAAUUUUAAAUCUGGUCGGCGUGGUCGGCCCGAGUUGUAAUUUGGUCAACUUGGAACCUAAAGAAGCGGUUAUCACGUUUUCGUUCGGGUUUAAGUUCCUUGGAAUAGGACAUCAGAGAGGGUGAGAAUCCCGUCUGUGAUCCGAUCGGUUGCGGUACGAUAUCGUUUCUAAGAGUCGAGUUGUUUGGGAUUGCAGCUCUAAAUGGGUGGUAAAUUCCAUCUAAGGCUAAAUAUAGGCGAGAGACCGAUAGCGAACAAGUACCGUGAGGGAAAGAUGAAAAGAACUUUGAAAAGAGAGUUAAACAGUACGUGAAAUUGUUGAUAGGGAAACGAUUGAAGUCAGUCAUGCCAGCGAGAAAUCAGCCUACAGGCCACUGUGGGUGCACUUUAUCGCAAGGCAGGUUAACAUCGAUUUUUGUUGCGUUAUAAUGAUUGUAGGAAGGUGGCUCCCUCGGGAGUGUUAUAGCCUACUUUAGAUGACGUGAUGGAGAUCGAGGAUUGCAGCGAAUGCCUUUUGGCUACGGGUCUGU